rnacentral:lncRNA from 1 species
AUGUUAGGGGGAGAUAGAACAGGCAUGCCUGUUAGUGCAAUCCGUGAAUUCAGCGAAGCACGAAUUAGAUGCCUGCUAAAUUAUCCUAAUACGGAAAGAACCUUCCCGACGCACUGCCCAGCACGAGGCAAGCCUCUAGCACUCAGAAACACGGACAUGAACCUGUGGUUUCAGAAGCGUUUCUUUCAAAUGGAUUCUGGCCUUCGCUUCCACAUCACAGUGCACCUGCCAGACCAUCCCCUAUCUGCGGUCCCACAGCAAGUCUGGGAAGUCAGCGUGGAGUGUCGCUGUCAUUUGCUGCAGGAGGAUGCGGAGGCCCAGCCAAAGCCAGCACGGUCGCGACAAUCCCACCCAGGUAGGAGCACCCAGAUGCCUGCAACUUUGUCUUCCCUUCAUUAGACAGCCCCCUAUAACCAUGCUGUGCCUCUCUAUCCCACAUGUUGUCUCUGCGAAGACUCCCUUGUGUCUGUUGAAGGAUAAAUCCACCUGUCCUCCUGCAUCACAGGCAGGCCUGGGCAGGACUUCCCUGUCCAGCAGCUGAAAUGCCAGACUCACAGCCUCAAAGAGGAGCCUGGUCUUCCUGCCCCGGUGUCCCAGGAGGUGUCUCCAAGCUGGCACUGAAACCUCGGAUCAUCUGGGGUCCUGAUGUCCACAAACACUGGCCUGAGCUGCGCCGUCCCAGCCGGCGCUCAGCCCAUGGGAUUUGGAAACAUCACGGCUUUUCCUAAGAGCAGGUGCUGUGUUCAGGGUUGGACCGUGUCCUCAUAAAGUACUUUAGUUUCUACCCAGCAGAAGCUAAAUGCACACAGGCACAGACCCACCGGAGGCCAUCAGGUUUCUCCCAGGAGCUCCUUUUGUUUAAAGUUAGCUCAGGCUCAUGACCACAGGUCACAAAGCCCUGUCGCCAGCUCCCUGCCCACCUCGCUGCCCCCACACAACCGCUGAUUCCCACACUGCACUGGUCCUCACACGCUGUGAUGGAUCUACAGCAGGCUGCCCAUCUGCUCUUGUCCACUGCCUCUGACUCUCACCAAGACCACGGCUGCCCCUUUGCAUUCCGAUUUUCUUACCAUCAGAAGGGCUUUUCCAGACCUCCUCCCCAUCUUCCUUGGCACUAAACUAUCAUUCUGAUGACAGAGCUGUUUUUUGCUUCAGAGUAUUUGUCACUAUCUGAAGUUAACUAAUUUUAAUUUCUUUCCUCUACUUAUUUUACACCCAAUCCUCCAGCGGAGGUACAAGAGAUGCAAACUUUCGCUUUCAUUAACAGUUGCCUCUCAAAACAGUGCGUAGCAGAGAACAGGACUCAGAUGUGGCAAACAGAUGGUGAGUGCAUGAAUGGGUGCAUGACUGGAUGCACAGACAGAGGCAGAGACAGUGGACGGACCAAAGGUAGGCGCGC